AAUGAGGUCAGCAGGACUGUUGGCAGCUUCUGUUAAUUCUGUUGGGGCAGGCACGUGGCAAGUGGCAGUUAUUUGAGCUGAGGAUGCUGGGAUGGAUUUUUACAUGAGCGGUUGGCCCUUACAUCAUGAGACCAGCCUAAGUGUCCGAGGAAAUGGAACAGCAGGGAGGGGGACAUCACACCCACCACCAAAACUUCUUGUUAAUCUCUGGCUUCCACAUCCUUCCCCAAAACUUCAGCCCGAUUCACAGCCUCAUUUUUCCAUCUUUUCUCCAUUCCUCCAUGGGAGAGCUUUCUGUUGGUACAGGAAGAGCUGCGAAGUGGGAAAGAUCAAGGGUAGUAAGAGCUGCCCCAGAUAAUCUACAGAAAGCUUUGCUGGAAUUGGGUUGUGCAUCUCUGAACCUGAGCUAGAUCUGUUGGGUCAGGGACCAUACUUAUUUACUGACCCAAGAAUUAAAAGAGCAGGCAAAUCUCCUGAAUAAAUGCUUACUUAGCACGUGCAUCUACUUGGAAUCGAACAUCUGAAAUAGUUACUGUUUGUGGUGCACUGACUGUAACUUCAAACUUGGGCAGCACUAGAAACAAAGAGAAAUAUACUUCAGUCCCCAUAAACACUGGGCUGCCUUGGCUGUUCUUGAUUCUUUGAUUUUCCACGUAUACUGCAGAAUCAUCUUCAAUGUAUACCAAAAAAAAAUGCUGGGAUUAAUUGGCAUUCCACUGAAUCCGUACAUCAAAUUAGAAAGAUUUGGCAUCUGAAAAUAUUGAGUCUUCCAAUCCAUGAACAUGAUGUAAUCCUCCAUUAAUUAGCUUUAGGUGUGCAGCUCAAUGAGUUCUGAUAAAUGCAUGCAGCCACAUGGUCGUCACAAUGAAGACUCCAGCAUCCUUCAGAGUUCCCGUGUGCCCAUUAGGGCUCCUCCCCCGCAGCCUCCCUCCUGGCCCUCAUAUCCACAGACCUGCUUUCUCACACUGUCAUUUUGCCUUUUCUAGAAUUUCAGGUAAAAGAAUCCUACAGCAGGUACCUUUUGUGUCUGGCUCCUUUCACUUUGUGUAAAGCUCUUGAAUGUUAGAUGUGUAUCAGUAAGUUCCCCUGUUUUAUUACUGAAUAUAUUCCACUGUAUGGGGAUACCACAGUUUUUUUAAUCUAUUUAUCAGCUGAAAGCCACUUGGGCUGCUGUCAGUUUCUGGGGAGCAGGAGGAAGCUGCUGGAACAUUCUUGUACAGAUUGUUGUAUGGAAAUCUGCUUUCAUUUGUCUUGGAUAAACACUUAGAGGAAGAAUUGCUGGGUACCAUAUUUGACUUUAUAAGGAAAUGCUAAACUGUUUUCCAGAGCAGCUGUGCCAUCUUGCAUGUCCGUCAGCACCAUGUGAGUUCCCCUGUGCUGCAGCCUUGCCAACAUGGAUGUGUUUUUCAAUUUCACCUGUUCUACUGCGGAUGCCAUUGUGGUUUCAGGCUGCAUUUCCCUAAUGAAUGAUGAUGUUCUGAAUCUUUUCAGGCAUUUUUUUUUUUUUUUUGCCAUGUUGUAUACUUCUCUGGUGAAGUGCCUGGUCAAGACUUUUACCCAUGUAAAAAAAUCAAACUGUUUUCUUAUUGAUUUAUAAGAUAUAAGCCAGGCAUAGUUGCAUUUGCCUGUAGUCUUAACUACUUGGAAGCCCAAAGCAGGAUGAUCACUUGAACCCAGGUGUCUGAGGUCAGCCUGGGCAACAUGGUAAGACCCUGUCACUAAAAAAUAAAAAAAAUUAAAGAUAUAUGUAUAUCUCACCAUGCUAGGCUGAAUGAUGGCCUCCCAAAGAUGUUCACAACCUAAUCUGUAAAAACUGUGAGUUUCUUACCUUACCUGGCGAAAGGGACUUUGCAGAUAUGAUUCAACUAAGGACGCUGAGAUGGGGAGAUCCUCCUGGAUUACCUGGCAGUGUCUGAUGUAAUCACUGGAGUCCUCAUGGGAGGGAAGCAGAAAGGCCACAGUCAGAGAUGGAGAAGUGGCCAUAGAAGCAGAGGUCCGUGUGCUGUGGGACCAUGAGCCAAGAAACCCACACCACCUCUGGGAGCUGGGAAAGGCAAGGGAGCAACGUCUCCCCGGAGCUCCAGAACGAGCCAGCCCUGAUGACACCGUGACUUCAGCCCUCAGAGACUGACUGUGGACAUCGGACCUCUGUGACUGUAAGAUCCUAAGCUGAUGUUUAUUUGUGGGAUUAUGAACUCUUUCUUCAGUGGAGGACUUGAAGCUGGCUCUUCUGACUUUAAGGCUUUGUUGAAUUAUUCCUACCAUUGUUUGGGGUGGAAGGGAGCAGGGUAUCUCAGGUGGUGGGAACGGUGUGAGGAAGCCCCCAGGCAAACAUGAGCACUGCCGCCUGGGGAGCAGGCACCUCUCAGAUAAAGCAGUGUGUGCUGGGUCAGUGGGAGGUGAGGUCCAUCUGGUGGAUCCACUAGGCUUUGGAAGCAGAGAGUCUGGGCUGGAGAUGGUGAGAAGCCAUGUUGUGGUUGAAGUGCUUGGGGGGUUUUCAGAAGGGUCAGGGCUGCCGGCCCAGGCAGGAGCAGGUGCUGGGGAGACAGCACUUGCCUGCCUCCCUCCCUGGGCUCUGAGGAGGCAUUCCGUGUGUGCUGUUCAUUAUUAUUCCAGAACAGCGCUGCCAAGUUCCGUGGACCAAGCUGCUUCUGUGAGUGAGCGGUAGGGAAUCCAGGAGAGUAAGGCCAUCUCAUUUCUCAGGGACCCUCUGGCUCACUGGAUGGCCUCAUCCCUUAAUCUUCUUCAAACGGGUGCUGGCCUCGCUGAAGACAUUCUGAGCUGGCGCCGUCAGCCUGAGCAGCACUUCACUCCAGUCCACCCGCACUUCACUCUGGAGUGCACCCUGAAAAGACAUGGAUUUUGUUCAAGGGUGAAGUCAUGUUUGCCUCUGUCUGGGAGCUGGAAUGUAUGCAGUGGUCAUCUUUGCUGCUUCUGCCCCGGUGCCACACUCUGAAGAGUGAGAACAUAGACAGGGUGGUCGAUGGCUUCACACUCCUGUCUCCCCACCAGGAUCUCUGGCUGAGACUCAGGGUCGGAGAAACCAGGGUGCCUCCAGACCACAGAACAAUGAAUUUUCUGUUCUCUUUUAAACUUCUUCCCAGCCUAGGGCAGUUCAAGGUCAGCUUCUUUCAGGAAGCCUGCCCUGAUAGUGCCACCUAACUACAAACACUUAUUUUCUGUGCUGCGUAUUUUCAGUGCUAAGUGAUCGCGCAUUCAACCUUUCAUGACACAUGGUCUCCUGUGGUUCUCUAGUCUUUCUGGAGAAGCAAGUGUGAGAUGGAUGCCUCAUCCGGUGAGGUUACAGAACUUCUGAGGACGGGGAGCAAUCUUUCUUCAUUUGUACCAUGUCUCACCAAAUAGAUGAUAAACCACUGGAGGACAGGUACUGUUUGACAUGGAAAUAAAGUUUAUGGUGCCCUCCUGA